GCUGAGGCUCAGGCCUGUAGCCUCAGCUACUGGGAAGGCUGAGGCAGGAGGAUUGCUUGAGUCCAGUUGUGGGUUGUAGUGCACUAGGCUGAUCAGGUAUUUGCCACUAAUUUUGGCAUCAAUAUGGUGACCUCUCAUGAGCAAGGGACAAUCAGGUUGCCUAAGGGGUGGUAAACUAGCCCAGGUCAGAACUGUAGCAGGUCAAAACUCCUGUGCUGAUUAGCAGUGGGACUGAGUCCAUGGAUAAUCACUGUACUCCAACUGGGGCAACAGAGAGAGACCCUACCCUGU
ensembl:misc_RNA Metazoa_SRP Metazoan signal recognition particle RNA